ACGUGGGUAACCUGCCCUAAAGUGGGGGAUAACAUUUGGAACAGAUGCUAAUACCGCAUAAAACCUACACCGCAUGGUGUAGGGUUGAAAGAUGGUUUCGGCUAUCACUUUAGGAUGGACCCGCGGUGCAUUAGUUAGUUGGUGAGGUAAAGGCUCACCAAGACCGUGAUGCAUAGCCGACCUGAGAGGGUAAUCGGCCACACUGGGACUGAGACACGGCCCAGACUCCUACGGAGGCAGCAGUAGGGAAUCUUCCACAAUGGACGAAAGUCUGAUGGAGCAACGCCGCGUGAGUGAAGAAGGUUUCGGAUCGUAAAACUCUGUUGUUGGAGAAGAAUGUAUCUGAUAGUAACUGAUCAGGUAGUGACGGUAUCCAACCAGAAAGCCACGGCUAACUACGUG
rnacentral:rRNA from 1 species